GCAUAACACAUGCAAGUCGAGCGAGGGCUCUUCUCCCGCAAGGGAGGGGAGUUCCUAGCGGCGAACGGGUGAGUAACACGUGAGCAACCUGUCCCGUAGCGGGGGAUAACACCGGGAAACCGGUGCUAAUACCGCAUGUCAUCGCCGGUCGCAUGGCCGGGGAGAAAAGCAGCAAUGCACUACGGGGUGGGCUCGCGGCCUAUCAGCUAGUAGGUGGGGUAACGGCCUACCUAGGCUUUGACGGGUAGCUGGUCUGAGAGGACGACCAGCCACACGGGGACUGAGACACGGCCCCGACUCCUACGGGAGGCAGCAGUGAGGAAUCUUCCGCAAUGGGCGAAAGCCUGACGGAGCGACGCCGCGUGUGGGAUGAAGUCUCUCGGGAUGUAAACCACUGUUCUAGAGGGAAGAGAACGGACGGUACCUCUAGAGAAAGCCCCGGCUAACUACGUGCCAGCCGCCGCCGUAA
rnacentral:rRNA from 1 species